rnacentral:rRNA from 1 species
UACGUAGGGUGCAAGCGUUAAUCGGAAUUACUGGGCGUAAAGCGUGCGCAGGCGGUUCCGCAAGUCAGAUGUGAAAUCCCCGGGCUCAACCUGGGAACUGCAUUUGAAACUACGGAGCUAGAGUGUGUCAGAGGGGGGGUGGAAUUCCACGUGUAGCAGUGAAAUGCGUAGAGAUGUGGAGGAACACCAAUGGCGAAGGCAGCCCCCCUGGGAUAACACUGACGCUCAUGCACGAAAGCGUGGGGAGCAAACAGG